rnacentral:rRNA from 1 species
UACUGGCUCAGGAUGAACGCUAGCUACAGGCUUAACACAUGCAAGUCGAGGGGCAGCAUUGGAGUAGCAAUACCUCAGAUGGCGACCGGCGCACGGGUGAGUAACACGUAUCCAACCUGCCGCUUACUCGGGGAUAGCCUUUCGAAAGAAAGAUUAAUACCCGAUGGUAUAAAGAGUUCGCAUGUUCUCUUUAUUAAAGAAUUUCGGUAAGCGAUGGGGAUGCGUUCCAUUAGAUUGUUGGCGGGGUAACGGCCCACCAAGUCUACGAUGGAUAGGGGUUCUGAGAGGAAGGUCCCCCACAUUGGAACUGAGACACGGUCCAAACUCCUACGGGAGGCAGCAGUGAGGAAUAUUGGUCAAUGGACGAGAGUCUGAACCAGCCAAGUAGCGUGAAGGAUGACUGCCCUAUGGGUUGUAAACUUCUUUUAUAAGGGAAUAAAGUGAGGGACGUGUCCCUUUUUGUAUGUACCUUAUGAAUAAGGAUCGGCUAACUCCGUGCCAGCAGCUGC